ACGAGCCUGGUGAUAGCUGGUUGCCCAGAACAGAAUCUUAGUUCAACUUUAAACUUGCCUCAAAACCCUAAAAUUCCAAUGUAAGUUUAAAACAUAGUCUAAAGGGGUACAGCUUUUUAGAAUUAGGAUACAGCCUUAAUUAGAGAGUAAGCACAUAACACUAAACCCAUAGUUGGCCUAAAAGCAGCCACCAAUUAAGAAAGCGUUCAAGCUCAACAAUUAAAACAUCUUAAUGUCAAAAUAAUGCAACCAACUCCUAAUUUAAAACUGGGCUAAUCUAUUUGAUAAUAGAAGCAAUAAUGCUAAUAUGAGUAACAAGAAGUAUUUCUCCCGUGCAUAAGCUUAUAUCAGAACGGAUAACCACUGAUAGUUAACAACAAGAUAAAUAUAACCUAAUUACAAGCAAAAUAUCAAACUAAUUGUUAACCCAACACAGGCAUGCAAUUCAGGGAAAGAUUAAAAGAAGUAAAAGGAACUCGGCAAACACAAGCCCCGCCUGUUUACCAAAAACAUCACCUCUAGCAUUUCCAGUAUUAGAGGCACUGCCUGCCCAGUGACAUUAGUUAAACGGCCGCGGUAUCCUGACCGUGCAAAGGUAGCAUAAUCAUUUGUUCCUUAAAUAGGGACUUGUAUGAAUGGCCACACGAGGGCUUUACUGUCUCUUACUUCCAAUCCGUGAAAUUGACCUUCCCGUGAAGAGGCGGGAAUAUGACAAUAAGACGAGAAGACCCUAUGGAGCUUUAAUUAACCGACCCAAAGAGACCUUGAUAAUCAACCGACAGGGAUAACAAACCUCUACCAUGGGUCGACAAUUUAGGUUGGGGUGACCUCGGAGAAUAAAACAACCUCCGAGUGAUUUAAAUCUAGACCAACCAGUCGAAAGUAUUACAUCACUUAUUGAUCCCAAAACUUGAUCAACGGAACAAGUUACCCUAGGGAUAACAGCGCAAUCCUAUUUCAGAGUCCAUAUCGACAAUAGGGUUUACGACCUCGAUGUUGGAUCAGGACAUCCCGAUGGUGCAGCAGCUAUCAAAGGUUCGUUUGUUCAACGAUUAAAGUCCUACGUGAUCUGAGUUCAGACCGGAG
rnacentral:rRNA from 1 species